rnacentral:rRNA from 1 species
AUUGAACGCUGGCGGCAUGCUUUACACAUGCAAGUCGAACGGUAACAGGGUGCUUGCACCGCUGACGAGUGGCGAACGGGUGAGUAAUGCGUCGGAACGUGCCGAGUAGUGGGGGAUAACGCAGCGAAAGUUGUGCUAAUACCGCAUACGUACUGAGGUAGAAAGUGGGGGACCUUCGGGCCUCACGCUAUUCGAGCGGCCGACGUCUGAUUAGCUAGUAGGUGAGGUAAAGGCUCACCUAGGCGACGAUCAGUAGCGGGUCUGAGAGGAUGAUCCGCCACACUGGGACUGAGACACGGCCCAGACUCCUACGGGAGGCAGCAGUGGGGAAUUUUGGACAAUGGGCGAAAGCCUGAUCCAGCCAUGCCGCGUGUCUGAAGAAGGCCUUCGGGUUGUAAAGGACUUUUGUCGGGGAGGAAAUCCCCAGCGUUAAUACCGCUGGGGGAUGACAGUACCUGAAGAAUAAGCACCGGCUAACUACGUGCCAGCCGCCGCAGUAACAC